GAUGAACGCUGGCGGCGUGCCUAAUACAUGCAAGUCGAGCGAACGGACGAGAAGCUUGCUUUUCUGAUGUUAGCGGCGGACGGGUGAGUAACACGUGGAUAACCUACCUAUAAGACCGGGAUAACUUCGGGAAACCGGAGCUAAUACCGGAUAAUAUUUUGAACCGCAUGGUUCAAAAGUGAAAGACGGUUUUGCUGUCACUUAUAGAUGGAUCCGCGCUGCAUUAGCUAGUUGGUAAGGUAACGGCUUACCAAGGCAACGAUGCAUAGCCGACCUGAGAGGGUGAUCGGCCACACUGGAACUGAGACACGGUCCAGACUCCUACGGGAGGCAGCAGUAGGGAAUCUUCCGCAAUGGGCGAAAGCCUGACGGAGCAACGCCGCGUGAGUGAUGAAGGUCUUCGGAUCGUAAAACUCUGUUAUUAGGGAAGAACAUAUGUGUAAGUAACUGUGCACGUCUUGACGGUACCUAAUCAGAAAGCCACGGCUAACUACGUG
rnacentral:rRNA from 1 species